UGAUAGAACCUAAAUAUUUAAAUUCAUUGCAUUUUGACAACAAAGCUCCAUUCAAUUGAAGCUCCCUUUAAUUUCUCCUAUGAGAGCUAGACUAACAAUACAUAUAUUUCAUCUUACUUUUAUUUGGCCUAAAACACUUAUUCUCAAAAGUACUUCUCCACAACUCUAAUUUUUAAUUAACUCGUUCAUUUGUUUCAUCCGCUAAGAUAACAUUAUUUGCAAAUAACAUAUAUCAUGGAUGCAUGGGAUAUCAUCUUGAAUAUGAUUGGUUAA
rnacentral:misc_RNA from 1 species